rnacentral:rRNA from 1 species
AUUGAACGCUGGCGGCAGGCUUAACACAUGCAAGUCGAGCGGAGAUGAGGUGCUUGCACCUUAUCUUAGCGGCGGACGGGUGAGUAAUGCUUAGGAAUCUGCCUAUUAGUGGGGGACAACAUUCCGAAAGGAAUGCUAAUACCGCAUACGUCCUACGGGAGAAAGCAGGGGAUCUUCGGACCUUGCGCUACUAGAUGAGCCUAAGCGGGAUUAGCCAGUUGGUGGGGUAAAGGCCUACCAAGGCGACGAUCUGUAGCGGGGCUGGGAGGAUGAUCCGCGAGACUGGGACUGAGACACGGCCCAGACGCCUACGGGAGGCAGCAGUGGGGAAUAUUGGACAAUGGGGGGAACCCUGAUCCAGCCAUGCCGCGUGUGUGAAGAAGGCCUUAUGGUUGUAAAGCACUUUGAGCGAGGAGGAGGCUACUGAGACUAAUACGCUUGGAUAGUGAACGUUACUCGCAGAAUAAGCACCGGCUAACUCUGUGCCAGCAGCCGCCGCAG